rnacentral:misc_RNA from 1 species
AAGUCGUAACAAGGUUUCCGUAGGUGAACCUGCGGAAGGAUCAUUACAUAAUAUAGCGGGGGCUUGAGCUAACCGGUCGUAGAAUCUGUUGAGUAAUCCAGUUCGAAGCCGGCGCUCUUGCCCUGUCAGAUAUUCUACCCAUGUCUUUUGCGUACUUUUUUGUUUCCUUGGUGGGCUUGCCUGCCGAUAGGACAACCAAUAAAACCUUUUUGUAAUUGCAAUCAGCGUCUGAAAAAAAACUUAAUAGUUACAACUUUCAACAACGGAUCUCUUGGUUCUG